UACGUAGGGUGCGAGCGUUGUCCGGAAUCAUUGGGCGUAAAGAGCGUGUAGGCGGCCCGAUAAGUCCGCUGUGAAAGUCCAGGGCUCAACCCUGGGAUGCCGGUGGAUACUGUCGGGCUCGAGUCCGGAAGAGGAGUGUGGAAUUCCUGGUGUAGCGGUGAAAUGCGCAGAUAUCAGGAGGAACACCAAUGGCGAAGGCAGCACUCUGGGACGUGACUGACGCUGAGACGCGAAAGCGUGGGGAGCAAACAGG
rnacentral:rRNA from 1 species